CAGUUCGGAUUGCAGGCUGCAACCCGCCCUGCAUGAAGUUGGAAUCGCUAGUAAUCGCGGAUCAGCAUGCCGCGGUGAAUACGUUCCCGGGCCUUGUACACACCGCCCGUCACACCAUGAGAGUCGGGAACACCCGAAGUCCGUAGCCUAACCGCGAAGGGGGCGCGGCCGAAGGUGGGUUCGAUAAUUGGGGUGAAGUCGUAACAAGGUAGC
rnacentral:rRNA from 1 species